UACGAAGGGGGCUAGCGUUGCUCGGAAUCACUGGGCGUAAAGCGCACGUAGGCGGAUUUCUAAGUCAGGGGUGAAAUCCUGGAGCUCAACUCCAGAACUGCCUUUGAUACUGGGAAUCUCGAGUCCGGGAGAGGUGAGUGGAACUGCGAGUGUAGAGGUGAAAUUCGUAGAUAUUCGGAAGAACACCAGUGGCGAAGGCGACUCGCUGGACAGACAUUGACGCUGAGGUGCGAAAGCGUGGGGAGCAAACAGG
rnacentral:rRNA from 1 species